rnacentral:rRNA from 1 species
CAAACGACUCUCGGCAACGGAUAUCUCGGCUCUUGCAUCGAUGAAGAACGUAGCGAAAUGCGAUACUUGGUGUGAAUUGCAGAAUCCCGUGAACCAUCGAGUUUUUGAACGCAAGUUGCGCCCGAGACCUUUAGGUUGAGGGCACGUCUGCCUGGGCGUCAC